GGCAGAGUAGAUUUUUGUGCGUUAAGUGCCGGAAGGACGGGAAGUUGCCUUUCGGACGAAAAACAAUAAUUUUUAUUGUUUGCGGUACAAAUAUCGCAUUCCGCUGCC
rnacentral:ncRNA from 17 species